GUCUACGGCCAUACCACCCUGAACGUGCAUGAUCUCAUCUGAUCUCGGGAGCUAAGCAGGGUCGGGCCUGGUUAGUACUUGGAUGGGAGAAUCUUCACCAGCUGCAUCUG
rnacentral:rRNA from 1 species